rnacentral:rRNA from 1 species
UACGAAGGGGGCUAGCGUUGUUCGGAAUUACUGGGCGUAAAGCGCGCGCAGGCGGCUAUCCAAGUCAGUGGUGAAAGCCCGGAGCUCAACUCCGGAACUGCCAUUGAAACUGUUUAGCUGGAGUAUGAGAGAGGUGAGUGGAAUUCCCAGUGUAGAGGUGAAAUUCGUAGAUAUUCGGAAGAACACCAGUGGCGAAGGCGACUCACUGGACACGUAUUGACGCUGAGGUGCGAAAGCGUGGGGAGCAAACAGG